rnacentral:rRNA from 1 species
UACGGAGGAUGCGAGCGUUAUCCGGAUUUAUUGGGUUUAAAGGGAGCGCAGGCUGCGAGGCAAGUCAGCGGUCAAAUGUCGGGGCUCAACCCCGGCCUGCCGUUGAAACUGUCCCGCUAGAGUUCGAGUGAGGUAUGCGGAAUGCGUUGUGUAGCGGUGAAAUGCAUAGAUAUGACGCAGAACUCCGAUUGCGAAGGCAGCAUACCAACUCGCGACUGACGCUGAGGCUCGAAAGCGUGGGUAUCGAACAGG